rnacentral:sRNA from 1 species
UUUUAUUUUUUUUUAAUUUUUGAAUUGUGUUGUGGCCAUCAUUUUAAUGUUGGACUUUUAAAGGUAUUAAGAAAAUAACACUGAAAAACUAUAAAGUUAAACCAAUUUUUAUUUCACACAUUUGUCACUGAUAUUUGGAGGCCCCUGAUGAACCGUAAACUUUUAAGCACUGUUCAAAAUAAACAGCAAUGAACUGUAUUGCGGAAUCAGUGUCAUUAUGGAUGUGUACACUUUCCAAGGCAGAUGUACUUUUACGUAGGCUCGAAAAGUCAAGAUUAUCUUAUGGUAGCUGCGUAAGUGAAAUUCAUGAAAAAGUUCCUGAUCAUGGUCUUCAGGAAGCUUCAAAAACUUUAUCAAUUUCAUUUGUUCAACUAGAACCGAUACCUCUUGAAAGAGAAAAGUCAGGUCCUACAUUUCUUUACAUUUGGUUAACACAAACGAGCAUUUGGACUCCUGCCAACAACUGUCAAUUUAUUCAUUUUGACGGUAAUCUUUAACAGCAACAACAACGAAAAGAAGCUUCCAAAAACUCAAGAUUCAAGAUAUUACUUAAAAGAACCAGGUACGUAGCAUGACACCCCAUCCAUGCAAACCAUUUCAAAGGCAAAUACAUGCUUCAAACUUGCUUCUCUAACUGUGUUUGCCUACAGAUCACCUUUUAAUGCACAGAGAGGCCCAUAACAAUAAAUGCCUUUAAAAUGAGGAAAAUAAAAUAAAAUUGAUGCUUUUUUCCCCCAGUGUAUUAGGAUCUAACUUUUGGUCUAAGAAAAUAGCAUUUAAUCUAUGGGGGGGAAAGAACAAAGGUUACAAUGCUUCAGAUAGAAUAUUUAUAUUUCAAAUGUGAGUUUUCGAAGUAUGUUGUCAUUUUUCUUUUACACGAAACACAUUAUUUAAGUACAUGACUCUUUUAAAGGGGCUGUGCUUAGAACGGUACUAAGAAUCUCCUCUUUUCUGGGGUGUCAGCUACCAAAAGCCCAGUCCUCGUUUGAAAGGAAAUUUUGAACUGUUUCAGUAUCAUGCACUCAGUUCCUCCUUCUCUGAGUUGCUACUGUUUAACGCAUUGUUAAUCAUAGAACUUCAGAAUACUGCACAUGGGCACGUUCUAUGCAAAUAUAUUCAGUUGGGGUAUGUAUAUAUUUUGUUAUGUUCUGUACAUAAACAUCUACCCUUGUGCAUAUGUAUAUUUACAUCAUGUGUAAAUACGCAGAGUAUAUUACCAAACUGUACUAUACUUAAGAGGAGGAGGAGCUUCGAAGGAGUGCCAAGCAAUAUUUUAGUUAACUGUUAACUGCGUACUUUUUUUUUUAAUGGAAGUCAUUAAAUUGCAUUUUGGGUUUUGUUUUUCACAGUCCCAAAGGUGGGUGUUGACAGACAUGAUUAUUUCCUGUUUUCCAAAAGGCCAGUUUUAAAAUAUUAUGUUAACAUCUGCUUUAAAUAAUUAAAAGUGGAACGGUCCCCCUUUGCACCUACCUUCUCCUAGGAAAGCCUGUGGGCACAGGUCCUGAUAAAUAAUUCAAGGAAAAACUUAACUUUGAUUUCACCAACAAAAGCUCAUCCACCGAAACACUAGCAUCCCACGGUUACCAUGCUUUGUUAAAAUGUGGCUGCCUCCAAAUUAUCUCAUGAAAAGGACUGACUGACAUUGUAUCAAGAUGCUGGCUGAGGAUGGCCUCUUAAGUUAGGUUAGUGUCUGUUCCAGUAAGUCAGAGGCUUUCUCCAGGACAGGAAUGUCUCAAAGAACUGUGUAGCAUCGUCUAACAUUAUGAGGUCUAAGAAAUAUGUGUAUACCAUAUUUACUCAUGACGUAAAUAUACAAGGGCACAAGCAUACAUGUUUAUGCAUGUAACAAGGUCUAUCCACAACCCCACUGGAUACAUUUACAUAGAAUGUGCCCAUGUACAAUGGACCAAACUUCUGUGGCUAACAGCAGCAGCAGCUCAAGAACGGAAGAAAGGGAAUCUUACUCAUACUGAAAAAUACCAAAGAUAGUUCUGAAUGAUUAGAAAUCAUCGAGGCAAAUGUACAGUAGAGGGGAAGUGUAAGCAAGCAUCAGGAGGUUUUCUCUCUAUGAUCUUCAGAAAUCUAGUGUUAUAAAAAAGCACUUAGGUUCACAGCCCAGAGGAGAAGAAAACCUUUCAUGUGUUUAUAAAUAUCCUGUCCGGUCUCCCCUUGAGAAGUGAACAAACUGGACUGGACACAGGAGAGGGGAAAAGUUCCUGGUUAAUGAUUUAAGAGAGAGGAAUUUAUUUUGUCCCAACUUUCCUUCAACUAGUCCACCUUUUUCUCGUGGAGAGAUAAUUGACAGCCCCUAUUUUGUAUGAAAUUAUGGAAAUCGCAGCCUAGAAGAAUAGGAAGUCAUUAUUUCACAACUGAAAAGAGGGAUGGCCAGAAAGUAUUUGAAAUCUCGCGGACACGCAAGCUCUUUCGCUUGACACACGCGGGGUGACUGGCACUCUCUUCGGAACCCCGCAAACAGGCUGGGCUUUAGGCUGGAGGAGGAAAUGCCCUGUAAACCACGUGCCUUCAACCACGGGGUUUUGCCCACCCUACAGCCUUGAUCACUUGAAAAGCGAGAGCCACGUACCCAAAGGAACAAGUUCAGGACCUCACAAGGACAUCGAUCGAGACUUGAUUGGACCCUGGACUUCUGCAAGGACUAGUGAACAGAACCGGAGGAAAGUGUCUGAUUAAAACUGAGAGCAGAUUUUGCGACACUCCAAACCCUAGUAGCUCUGUCCCCUUCUCACUGCCUAAGUUCAACUGAGCUUGAGAGAGUGACAUCCCUCCCUUCUCGGUGCCUUUCCCAAGCCAAGCCAAGGCCAGAGGUGUGCAGAAAAAUUUUUAGAGACACCCCAUCUUAUAAAUAUGAGAAUUUCAUCAGGCAGCACAGACUA